CCUACGGGUGGCAGCAGUGAGGAAUAUUGGUCAAUGGGCGGAAGUCUGAACCAGCCAAGUCGCGUGAGGGAAUAAGGCCCUACGGGUCGUAAACCUCUUUUGCCGGGGAGCAAGGGCGGGGACGUGUCCCGGCCCGGAGAGUACCCGGAGAAAAAGCAUCGGCUAACUCCGUGCCAGCAGCCGCGGUAAUACGGAGGAUGCGAGCGUUAUCCGGAUUUACUGGGUGUGAAGGGAGCGCAGGCGGCACGGCAAGCCUGAUGUGAAAGCCCGCGGCCCAACCGCGGGACUGCAUUGGGAACUACCGGGCUGGAGUGCCGGAGAGGUAGGCGGAAUUCCUAGUGUAGCGGUGAAAUGCGUAGAUAUUAGGAGGAACACCAGUGGCGAAGGCGGCCUACUGGACGGUGACUGACGCUGAGGCUCGAAAGCGUGGGGAGCAAACAGGAUUAGAUACCCCGGUAGUC
rnacentral:rRNA from 1 species